GGGUGGGGGCAGAGACAGGAGAAGCAAAAGGGUAUGAACUAAGCAAGUAGGAGUGGAGAUAGAAGGAGAGAGUGGGAGACAGAGGCACAGGCAGAGAAGGACAAAUAUAGAGAGAAUGGGAGCAUGGGGGGGUAAAGGAGGGAGGGAAAUGAGGGAAACAGAGUGGGAGAGAGAGACAGACAGGAGGAGGAGGGAGGGAAGAGGGAUGCUGCAUUUUAGUGAUAGCACAGACUGAGGCUGCAGCAGCAGACAGAGCGAUGAGAGAGGUAGAAAUUAAAAGAGAGGAUUGUCAGACAGAGCACGACAGGAUUCCCACAGACCAUCACAAGCGUGUUCUUGAAGAGCCAGCAGCAAGGGUUCAAGAGAGGAGGAGAAAAAAGGAGCAAACUUGUGACCUCAGCAAGGGGAAAGACACUUCUCCAGUAAGAAGAGGAGAAAACAAUCCACCUGUGAUCAAACUAAGACUAUUAGCAACAGCAAGAUCCCAGAGAGAAACAUCAGAAAGAGUAACUCUGUCUUCCCUUUUUGUUGUCUCUCUGCUUGACUGUCUAUCCACAGGCUGUCCUUCUGUCUGUCUCAGCAGGAUGCAAAGGCAUCAUUUUAGUGCCUGGGAUGGAAAGAAAUGCUGAACGAAUCCUGAAGGGUUGUUAGAGAGAGAGAGAGAGAGACGAAGCAAGAAAAAAAGGAGGAACAGAGGAACAUUUGCAAGCUUCUGGAAGGAAAAGGGAGGAGAAAGCAGUAUGACUCAGAGCACAGCAGCUAGGAUACUGUGUAUUCUGCAUGCAAGAGGAGAGGCAGAGGGAGACAGAGGAACACUGAAGAAGAUAUAAGGAGAAAAAUAAAGAGGACUUGACCAGAAUUGAGUCGUCAUUAGACAGAAGAAGGACAGGAUGAAGACAAGCAACCACACUGGCAGGCAGUGAGUGAGAUAUAGGCCGAGUGAAUCAGCUUGCUAGGGGGAGAGGAAGGCAAGAAGAGUUUAGAAAGUGGAGGGUUUAGUAUGACUGAAGCCAGUCGAGGGAAGGUUGAAUGAAGGUUUUCUGCAGGGCGGAGAGCGGGAGAAGAACUGCAAAGGACAGAGUUAAUGAAAAAUAGUUUGAACUCCUACAGAGGAGAAUGUCCUGAGUGACUGCCUCUUGCCACAGGGAGAGAACAUGACUGAGCUUUGCAUGGGGGAGAAGAAGCUUCAAGAAGGUUGAACACAGGAAAGGAAGAAAACGUUAGAAAGUACAAAGGUUAAAAAGAGACCUAGAAGUAGAGUAUAAAGACAAGGAGCAAAUUAGGCUAGAUCAGAGCAAAGAUUUAACAUUCAAGCAAAAAAGGCAAGGUCUAAGAAGAACAGAAAAGAGAAACGCUGCACAUUCAGAACAUGGCAUCCAACGCGCAACGAUGGGGAACAUGAAAACUUUAACUGUGACGAUAACACGGCAAGAGGUUCCUGUUAAAUAUUGAUGCUGACAGGCCACUCUGGAAAGAACUUGCUCCUUGUACCACAGAGGGAGAAACAGAAGAAACGCAGCUGCUUUUUUAUUCUGAGGAUUUUUACACCGGAAUAGACAAGCUGUUAAAUGUGUCAGAUGAUGGCUGAGAGUGGUGAAGUAGAGAUGUUGGCUCAAAUUAAGACCAGACCUACAAAUUAGCCGACCCCGGGCUUCCUGGAGGUUUUUUUGGACAGCUGUGCAACUUCUCGGGGAGAGUGGAAUUACUAUAGACAGAAGCACUGGACCCUUUAUGUUGCGUGCAAACUGCACAGAGGAAAGCGAUCUGUAUUUGAGAGAAAUGACUGAGACCUCCUGAAGAAAUCUGUUCUAUUGAAAAGAAGAAUACAGAUGUAUGUUUUGGAUUGACAGCCACUCUGCAGCACUGCCACAUGAGAAAAGUCGCUGCUGAAGCAUACAUGUUAUUUUCAUCCUGGACUGAUUGGAGCCGUUUCAAGCCACAGAAAAUGGCCUCAUUACAGAGAUUUGGCCAGUGGAGGACUGCUUGAGGAGAUAUGUGUGGAGAUUCUUUGAUGAAGAACUGGAGGCAGGAUGCUUACUUUGUUUUUGCUUCUGGGACUCAAUAAAGUCAUGAUGGGUCUUUCCGUGAAGGCAUCACGUUAGGAGCUGCCUUCUCUCCGACCUCAAUCACCGAUUCCUCAAAGAUCAAAACAAUAACGUAGGAAGACACAAUGGCACGGUCUCCAUCCAGCUGCCGAUAGACCAGCUGUGUGUUUAUGUGGGGCAGCGUGGGGGUGCAAGGACUGUCGAGGAGCUCAGCUGUGUUUGCACAGAUGCUUGUGUGGGUGUGGAUGCAGAGGUGUGUGUGUGUAUGUGUGUGUGUGCACUGAGCUUUGAACCCAGCUGUAUCUGAGUGUAUUUUCAAAGAGUCAUCAAGCGCUGUGUGUGUGUCUGUGUGUGUGUGUGUGUUGCCUGGAUUUUCCCCACCAGCGACAGAGCUGGACCUGAGCAGCAGCACUAAGAGGGGGGACAGGGAGGGGGAGGAAGAGGCGGAGGAGAGGAGGAAGAAGGAGGCGAAAGGAACCAGCAGGACGGAGGAGAAGAAAAAACUGACAACAUGCUUGGAUAAAGAGAAGAAAGAAAAGAGUCUUUGGCUGCCCCCCUGGUGCAAUGUGUGGCGUCGCGCCCUGUGGGAGUGGGGUUCUGUGAUGGUAACCAUGGUCCCCGGCAGCCGCUAUGUUUGCAGCGCUCACGCAAGAGAGGAAGACUCCACGAAUGACCGUGAGGAGCGAAUUUUAGCCGUGCUGGGCAUCAUCGGGACCAUCCUCAAUCUUCUGGUGGUCAUAUUUGUCUACAUCUACACUUCAGUCACAUAAGGAUUUCUGCAAGAUCCAACAACAAGACACGGUGGCUCCAACCCAACUUUUGCUCACACUGCCACUGCCCUCUUUAAGUAUUUAUGUUCUUCAAGGGUUUGAUUUUUUCUCAAAGUAAGCACAAAGAUGUGAGGAUCAUUGGCAGUGUGUUCAGCUGGAUUGUAGCCAUAUUUAUCUACACCUGAUUCACUGCUUAUCCCUCAAGACAGCUUUGCUCUCUUACCUAAAGAUUGCUGCCAAUUACAGAGUUGGGGCUUAUUGGGGGAACCAUCCGGACUUCCCUGUUUAUGUUAAACUGCAUCACUUUUCAACACAGACUCACAUAUGCAUAUUCCAAAUGGCUGCUGACACUGUGUCCAGUCUGGUAACAGUCAUGCAUCUGAUUUCAUAUUGAUCUGUAACUGUGGAAUAACAUUUUCUGUGGCUUCUUCAACUGCUCGAAUGGAGCUUUUGAUUUCAUGGUGACUGUGCUGCAUCUUCCACUAGUGUGUGGUUUCUGCUUUUUUGUGAGAUUUUAGAUAUCACUGCCAGUUAAAUAUAUACAUUAAAGGUUGGACAAGCAGAAAAACUUUGCAUUGACUUGACCAAAUUAGUACAUCAGGAAGGGGGGUACACUAUUAAAACUACUAAUAUGGACCAAAAUUGCCAAAUGAGAUAGCACAAUUAUCAAAACUGGGACCCUAAGUACUUGAACAGAACAUUGGUAUAGACGUUGAGAUAAUCACAUGUCCUCGCUGCUAAAUCCUAGUUUCUGUAGUCAGUAGAAUCCUUGAAAGGGUUUUACAUGGACCUAACGUGUCCAUACUUGAGCACACCAGAGGAGAGAUUCCUGGCAGUGCUAGGAGUCAUCGGUAUAGUCCUUAACCUCCUGCUGCUCAUUUUCGUCUACAUAUACACCUCCAUUUGAUCUGAGGCGUCCAGAAAAAAGCUGCUUAAUGCCAAUGCUCUUCUCCAUGUGGGAGGUUUCUACACCUAACAGCAGCCUAGUGUAUCAGUGAUCGUAUCAUGCAGAGACUAUACAUUUUUUAGCCACACUUGUGUAUAUAUAUAUUCUGAGCACACCAUGAUUCUCAUGUGACCACUGUGUUACUCUGGGCAGGUUUCUGGCCUUUGUUAACACAAUGACACUUAAACAGUAUGGUGAACAGAGGGCGAUGAAUGAAUUCAAGGUAGAAGCAGCAAACUGGUUCAUUUUAUAAAUACAUUUCAAAUUCACCGUUUCCAUGGAUAUUUGUGGCCUACAGUUGGUGUUCUUCUAAUAGAAUUAGUGUCAUAUAAUACAGUACUCUCCCAUAUGUGUGCAUCAUAAGAUGUUAAUUGAUGCUUAUAUUAUAAUAAUGAAAUGUUCUCUAUCACGCUUUGACUAAAAUAACUGUUGUAAAGACUGCCAUCUCUGUAGUGAUUCUGUUCUACAUGCUUAUUUCUACUGAAAACAUCAAGUCAUGGAACUGGACAUUUCAGUCUGUGCAGAAGCUCUGCACAUCAGCAAAGAUCCCUCUGUGUAUAGUUGGUCCCACAGAAUAAUGGUGUUUUUUCUGCUGCCAUGUUUCAGUGAUUAUAUGUGGAAACCAGGCACAGAGCAGCGGCAGAGUGGGCAAAGCGUGAAACUGAGACAAUGUCACACAAAUCAAAACAGAGCUCUUUUGCAGUGUAUCACAAAGGCCUACAGCAGUGGCAAAGAAAUCAGGGAGAACCCGUGUGGAUUGUCUGAAAGAAGUGGACAUAAAACCGUUCUACAAAGCCUCAAUGUCUGUCUUGAAACUCACGAAGGCACAACAAACUCCCCGGGAUUUGGUUACAACAUGUUCACCGGAGCUGCAUGUAACUAUGGAUAUGACUUUAGGUUGAAGCACUCCGUCUCUAAUGGAGAAAUAAACCCGAACACAGCUGAAACUGGCCUGAAUCUACACUUGAUCCUUGUCAUUCUCUUCUCCACCAACAAGCUAACGCCAGAGAAGACAUAGUGACACACGGGUCUCUGCUGUCAUCUCACAUAUAGCACAGGAACAGUUUGUACUCUAAAAUUAAUGACCAGCGAGGCUGACACUUAACCUUCUGCAGUUUUACAUGUUGGCUUGUGUGAAAAAUUGUUUGACAUUUUGAUAAUUAUCGCAUAUGAUUCCUUGUUACAGUGUGUUUGUAUGCUCUUAGUUUUAGCACCAGUUUAUCACAGAGUGUUUGGUUUGCAAGAAAAUCCAAAAGUCACAAUCAGUACAUUGGAAAAUGUUUGUGACGAAAUAUGUAUGGAUGAGCACAGUCUAUUUUUAUAAAUUGUAGAAGGUUCAGAUAAAUGUGCUCAUGGUUUUGAAAUUGUGGAUUAAUGAAAUAAUGAGAUUUUACACACAAAAAAUUAUAAACUAUAAGCUGCAUUGCUGGGUUCAAAAAGCAGAAUUGCAUCUAAAAGUUCUACAUUUCUGUUACCUGUAAUACACAAGAAACUUGCAUAAGCUGCUCAGUCACAUAGACACACUUAUGCAUGCUCAUUUUUCUGAUCUUUAGGACCCUCACUGACAAACUGACCUUAACCACCAAGUUCCUAAUUCAGUCUUUGUCACCUCAAUCUGGCUAAACUGGAGCCUUGUUUACAACCUGUUUAAUCAUCUCACAGGUCUUGUUUCUUGCCCUGUUCAAUAUAAUCAAUGGAAUCAAUGACCCAGCUAUGAUGAUAGAACUUAAAUUGUAAUACACCAUAUUUCUUUUUUAUAUUCAUAUCUUCAGGCCUUCCAAGAACUAGGAACAAACCAAAAAGUCUUCACUUUCAGAACAAGAAAAAAUCUCCGCUUAGACCUAAAACUCAAGUUGGUCCUCACAAAGCUAGAAAUGUAGCCGCUCACACACUCGCUGCUUGAAUCUCCCUUCAUGAGUUUAAUUUUACACCGUCUUUUCAGCACACAUCAGGAGAUUCGGCCGUGAGCAUACCGAGAUCGAUGUGACUUGCACAUUUACCUCCUGUCACAUCUAAUAACUUUACAGUGGAGUUUGUUGAGUUGAAUCCAUGUUAAGUGUGCACCAAAGCACAGUCUGAGCCACCUUGGGUUUGCCAGACAUCUGCUGUCACACUGUGACAGUCGAAGCUGCGGCUCUGCAGAAAUACACAUGAACAGACUUUGAAGUACCUAAAAAUGUACCGGAGAUAUUUUUUGAUCUGAGGUAUCUCUGGAAGGUCACUUGAUGUUUGUGAACAAACAUAACAAACACAUAUGCUGCUACCUAUUUGGACAACGGUUUUACAGUACUGCUUUCUAAUCAAGGACUGAGAGUUAAAUUAUUCACCAAUACGUGCAAAAUUGGUUAGAAGCCAUAUAUAAGGAAAACCUUUUGGUCUCCUGGUACGCUUUAUUGUCGCUUUGUAGCAAGCCAUAUUUUAUAAUAGCUAAAACUGCUAUAUUACCAUUUUCUGAUGCUACAUGGUUAGAGUAUUAACAGAUUAGCAUUGAUAAAGUAAUUACCAAUUUUAUAACUAUAUUAUUAUCACAGAAAAACAAUCAGGGUUUUAAACAAAGUGGCAAUCAUUGAAAAGAUCAAAGUGUUUCUGAUGAAGUUGUCUAACUGCUCUGUUAAACGACUCAUUAACUAUUAUUACAGUCAUUGGUUACGUCUUAUAAACCCCCUCUGAAGAAGCCUUAAAUUGAAUGUUUCAGGCUCCUCAUUUUAGUGAGCGUUUUCAAUUAUGCUAAAAACUAGCAAUUCAGACUGAAACAAGUAAAAAACAUUUAUUUUAAGACAAUAUUUAACCUUUCAUGGCCAGAACAGUUUUAUACCAGCUGCAAAAGUCAUUAAGACCAUAACGGGAUCCAUUGGACCCACCUAAAUCUGGCGAUGGUUACAUGGUGUAUUAAGACUAGAUGAAAAGUAUAAUUAGAAAAACAUAUUUUUUUAAAAGAUUUCUAAACAGCACUAACUGACAUCAGUUAGAAAAAGGCUAAGGUUUUGGAUUCGAUGGCUUUUGAUAAGUCGACUGAACAAUGUGGUUGCAGUACCUGAGCUUUGUCUUUUAUGUGUUUUUGGUUUUCGGUUGAGAACUGUUUUAACACGCUUACUGCUAAGAGGACCAAUGAGAGGAGAGAGCCUUGAGGGUGAAUCCCGGCCAUCUGCUGUCCCAACAGACCUCCUCAGUGUACACACACACAUACACACACAAACACACAAACACAGUAAGCAUGAGCAUCUACUUUUUAACAAAGCAGCUCAUACUCUAACUCAAUAUCGAUUUUUUUCUCUACUGGAGAAGGGAAUAGUUUUCACUGCCAGAGGAAAACAAGUGGGACUCCUGACCAGUGCCUGACUGUUAAAUCGAAACACUGAGAGGAAAAUGAGUCUGGAUUCAACACUGCUCAUUCUGUGUGCGAGCCAGUCUGUUCAGCCAAAGCAAAGACUGACUCUCGUGUUUUUUUAUGACGUGCGAGCCGAAUUGAUUUUUUGAGCGCACUGGACACAAGCUGCCUGAGACUAGACAAGAGAAAACAAUGUGGAGGGAUUAUUUUAAUGUUAUUUCAGAGCAACAAAGCUGAAUAAUAGCUGAGCUACCUUAGAAUUUGGCAACAAAAUAAGUGCCUUGGGCAUAACAGAUUCCAGCUUCACAGUAUUUUCUACAGCACAAUUCCACUGAGAGGAAAAUAAAGGCUGAGAAAGGUCCUGGCAUGCAUGAAAAAUGUGUGUUUGUUUCACUUAGCACUUUUCAUUUAACUGUAAAUUAUUUUCUGAGCAGGCAGCACCGGCGAUUCACAAAACAGGUGUCAGAAAAACUGAGAAAUAAUCUAUUAGCCAAAGUAUUGUGUGAAACGCUGACAGCAGUUGCUGCUGCUGUGCAAACAAACUCUAGAAGCGAAGUGUUGAGAGCAACUACCUGCUGUUUCUUGUUGCUUCUAUUGUAAGCUAGACUGUCAAAUGAAAGUAACCGUGUCUGCCAGAAUUCAUAGCACUGAGUCAAUUUCUGAUGAAGCUGAUAAAAGGUUUGAUACAAUUCUUGAGAAUUACUACUGAAAAUAUGUUUUGAGAUCUGGUGUACUUUAUGUAAUGUUUAUAUGUAUAGUUAUAGAAAUGUCAAUAAAAAUGAAAACCGCCACUUUCAAA